CCUACGGGUGGCAGCAGUGAGGAAUAUUGGUCAAUGGGCGCAAGCCUGAACCAGCCAAGUAGCGUGCAGGAAGACGGUCCUAUGGAUUGUAAACCUCUUUUGUCGGGGAGCAACACACCCCACGCGUGGCGCUUCGAGAGUACCAGAAGAAAAAGCAUCGGCUAAGUCCGUGCCAGCAGCCGCGGUAAUACGGAGGAUGCGAGCGUUAUCCGGUUUUAUUGGGUUUAAAGGGAGCGCAGGCGGAAGAUCAAGUCAGCGGGAAAAGUGAGGGGCUCAACCGCGUCGAGCCGUUGAAACUGGUUUUCUUGAGUGAGCGAAAAGUAGGCGGAAUGCGUGGUGUAGCGGUGAAAUGCAUAGAUAUCACGCAGAACUCCGAUUGCGAAGGCAGCAUACCGGCGCUCAACUGACGCUCAUGCACGAAAGUGUGGGUAUCGAACAGGAUUAGAUACCCCUGUAGUC
rnacentral:rRNA from 1 species